rnacentral:lncRNA from 1 species
AUUCCAACAAAUGGUAAAAUAGAUUUCUUAAUCUGUCCCUGUGUCUUGAGAGUCAGGCCCGACUGACAGGCUGAGCGCUGCUCCGGUCCACAAGAGUCCUCAGUCACAGCAGCUGGGAGAGCUCUCUGGCAAAUGUGCAAACGUGCUUCUCGUCUCUGAUCCUUACCUAAGGAAGGGAGACACACAGCCUGCGUUUAUCAGGUGUACAUUUGCAAAUCGUUGCUUGAUGUACAUAAGAAUCUGGAAUGUAGAGAACACGCCAAAUCAGCCCGCUGUAGACAGGCAGGUCUGCGCAUGCCCUACCGAGGUCCUGAGUCCCACAGAAGAUGCCAAAUCACCCUGCUGCAGACAGGUAGGUCUGCUCACACCCCACCGAGGUCUCCAGAUGUGUGGAAUAAGCCGAAUCAGCCCGCUGCAGACAGGAAGGUCUGUGCAUGCCCUACUGAGGUCCUGAGUCCCGCGGAAGACACCGAAUCACCCCGCUGCAGACAGGCAGCCACCUGGUUCCACACUACAAAGAGGCAGAGGACACCAGACCACCAGACCAAGGUACUGCGUCCUGCUGCUCCCGGCCCAGAGGAAGGGGCUUCCAGGCCACCAUCGCUCUCACUGCUCCCAGCCCACAGGAAAGGGCCUUUGGGUCACCAUCCCUACCACUGCUCCUGGCCCCUGUCCCACCUCUCCCAGCUCAGAGGAGGUAAUCCAUGCAGGGGCUAACAGCCCCCCGUGUGAGUUGAAAUGAGAAAACAUGUAAAUAAGUCUCAAAACCAGACUUCCAGAUCACCUACAGCAACCACAAAGGGAAAUGAGAUGGAACACUUUGAUACUCAACCACCUGGACCCACUGAACUGGCAACAAAAGGGGAUCUGGAAAAAAUGAAAUCAGAAAUAAUUUCUCAGAUAACAGGAGAAAUUGUGCCCCUAGUGCAAGACAUGAUUAAUAAAUCUAGAGAGGAGCUCAGGAACAUGAUGGAAUCCCAACACAGGAAACAAAUGGAAUCCAUAAAACAGAUGCAAAUAGAUUUCCAGGAGAUGAAAAAUUCCAUUGAAAGUCUACAUAGCAGAAUGAGCCAAUGUGAGGACAGAAUUUCAGAUAUAGAAGAUAAGAUUGCAAUUAGUGACCAGGAAAAGAAAAAUUGCUUCAAAAUUAUAAGGGAACAUAAGAAAUCAAACCAAAAGCUGCUAGAUGAUGCAAAGGAGAAUAACAUAAGACUGAUUGGAGUCAAUGAAGAAACAGGAGAGAGUGGAGAUGACAUAAAAAAUCUCUUCACAGAAAUAAUGGCAGAAAACUUCCCAAGCAGGGGAAAAGAGCUUGACAUACAGAUAAGUGAGGCAUAUAGGACUCCAAAUAGCCUUGAUCAA